rnacentral:rRNA from 1 species
GACGAACGCUGGCGGCGUGCUUAACACAUGCAAGUCGAACGAGUGGCGAACGGGUGAGUAACACGUGGGUGACCUGCCCUGCACUUCGGGAUAAGCCUGGGAAACUGGGUCUAAUACCGGAUAGUGUGGGAUGGGCCCGCGGCCUAUCAGCUUGUUGGUGGGGUAAUUGCCGAACAAGGCGGCGACGGGUAGCCGGCCUGAGAGGGUGGACGGCCACAUUGGGACUGAGACACGGCCCAGAGUCCUACGGGAGGCAGAAGUGGGGAAUAUUGCACAAUGGGCGGAAGCCUGAUGCAGCGACGCCGCGUGUGGGAUGACGGCCUCGGGUUGUAAAACUCUGUCCUCAUCAAAGGGCGUGAUGAGGAGGAAGCCCCGGCGAACUAUGUGCCAGCAGCCGCGGUAAUAC